AGUUCAGAGUCUGCCUACACCACCAUCUUGAUGAGAUCUCCUCUAGUUAUUUUCUUUAUUACGAGGAUACACUUCAUUCCCAUACAAGCACAAACUCCUUGUUGUAUAUAAUGAAAAUGUGUGCUUAUUAAAAACUAGUAAAAUUGAAAAGGUUGUGAGGACAUAUUCCAUUUUAAUUUUUUUAAUAAAAGAAAGAUCUCACAUAUAUCUAUUAAUUUCUAAUACUCAAUAGUAGAUUAAUGCUUGAAUUAGUCCUGAUUAAUGUUUAUUGUAAAUGUGUCAAUUUAUCAGUGGGUCAGAUACUAUCUUUCAAAUCACUUAGUAUGACCAUCGCAUGCUAUUGUUCUGUAAUAAUUUUAUAUAGGUAAGCCUACGUAUGAACAUUCUGCAGCUAAGUUAAAUCGAAGACAAAAAUUGUCUAUGCUCUUUCGUCCCGCUUUCUUUUAUUCCCCUUUAGUCUUGGCACAUAAUCAGAGAAAUAGGGUGUGUCUAAUUAUGAAUUUAGUUAUUUACUAGACAUGGACAUAUAUAUACAUACAUGCAUACAUACAUAUACACAUACCUAUACACACACACACACACGUGUGUAUGUGUCUUUCUACCUCUUCACUUUUCUUCUGAGCCACAUCUCCUGGUUUCUUCCCUCCUCUCCAGCUGCUUCCUUUCAGUCUGUUCUUCUCUACUCCAUUCCCUCUGGGUGAUUUUUUUCUAGCCCCAUGACUUUAAAUAACAUUUAAAUAUACUGAUGAUACUUGUAUUUAUAUCUCCAGCCCCAACUCUUCCCCUGAACUUUUAACUCGUGUAUCCAACUGCCUGUAAGACAGCUCCAUGGGAUGUCUGGCAGACAUCUCACAAUGAACGGCUGCAAACAGAAAUCUUGAUUCCACGCACCAUGCCCAUGUUCUUCCCUGCAAUCUCCCCCUCUCCCUGGAGUCUCAUCUCAGUAAAUGGCACACCAGCGACUCAAACCUCAGCCAUCUCUCAGUCCUCUCUCUCAGACUACAUCAAUCUGUCAGCAAGUUCUGUGGACUCUGCUCUUAAACGAUGGCUCCCAACUGGUCUCCCCACUCCACUCUCGUCUCCUGCAGUCUUCUCCGCACAGCAGCCAGAGUGAAUCUUUAAAAGCGAAGGUCAGAAUGCUUCAUUCCAUGGAGCUCCACACUUCAGCGACUUCCAUUCACUGAGAAUGAAAGCCAAAGUCCUUACGCUGGCCGACAGGGCUCUCUGUGAUCCGUGUCCGGCCUCCUCUCUCCCCAUUCUCUACUGCUGUCCCACCCUCUGCCCUCUAGCACACUCCUUGUUGUUCCUCCAACAGGCCUUUUCAAGCCUUUACAUCUGCCAUUCUCUCUGCCUGCAUGGCCCUUCCCUGCAUGUUUACCUGGGUCACCUCCUCAUUCAUUCAGAUGUCACCUCCUCAAAGAGGCUUUACCUGACCACGCUCUCUGGAGUAGCAUCCUGUCACUCCCUUUCUCCUUACCUCGCUUGACUGUUUUUCUCAUAGCACUAAACCUAAUACUAUUUGUUUUUAAUGUCAAUCUGUCUGUCUCUUCUACUAGAAUAUAAUCUUCUUAAGAACAGGAGUUUUAUUUUGUUAACCAGUUUCUAGCAUCUAAAUAGUGCUUGCACAAGAUAGACACCAAUAAAUAUGUAUUUAAUGAACAAAUGCAUACUUCACGCACAUCUAAAAUAACACAGUUGGUCAAAGCGUAUGAACUUGCAACUAGAAGAUAAGUUCUGGAGAUCUAAGGUACAGCCUAGUGACUAUAGUCAACAAUACUGUAUAUUCAAUUCAAUACUGCAACUUCAAAGUUGCUAAGAGACUAGACCUUAAAUGUUCUCAUCAUGAAAAAGAAAUGAUACUUAUGUGAAGUGAUAGAAGUGUAAGCUAACUCGAAGGUGGCAAUCAUAUUGCAAUAUAUAAAUGUAUCAAAUCAAUGCAUUGCACACCUUAAACUUGCACAACAUUAUAUGUCAGUGACAUCUCAAUAAAAAAACAAAGUAACAGAGAUUUACAAUACAACCGUUAAUUUUCUGGAUUUGUUUUGUGCUUCUGUAGAAGACUGGGUGUACACUUAUAAUUAUAUGUCAGCUUUGGUAUUAUAUAGAGCGCACAGUGUUCCUUAAAAAAACUUUAAAAAGAUACUGCAGUCUUUAAGAUGUGAGUUAGUGCAACCAUCCACAUAUGUAUAUGUUCACAAACUAUUUUCGAUAGUGCUUUAGUACCUUGAAAGGCUCCUAAAAGUUUUCAUGCAAUGUUCAAAAGUGUAAAUCUUACUGCCAAGGAGCUGAUGCACUUGCAGACCCUCAGUCACAAUUUAAUGGAUGCCAUGUUUCCAUGUCCAGUUGGUCACUUAGCCCUGGACACCAUAUCUUUCAGAACAACCUUGCUAAGGUGAUAGAAACACUAACAGAAAGGACAAUAUUGUGCUAUGAUCAUCAAACUUGCCAAGAGACUAGAACUUAAUUCCAACCACUAAAAAGAAAGGAUCAUUAUGUAACGUGACAGGCACUAAAUAUUGCUACAAUGGCAAUCAUAUUGCAAUAUGUAAAUGUAUCAAAUUAACAUGUUUUGCACCCUAAAUUUACACAAUGCUAUGUAUCCAGUAUGUUCAGUGAAAAAAAGAGGAGAGCUACCUGCUUUAUUAUUUCAACAAAAGGGAUGGAGAAGAAGAAAAAGAAAACGCAGGAGAGGAUGGAGAGAAGGAGGAGAAUGAUGUUCUAGCUGUAAAUGGAGAAUGAUGUUCUAGCUGUAAAUGGAGAAUGUGCAGCGAAGAAAAAGAAUAUUUUAACAGGAGCUAAAGAAACUGUAAGAGGUGCAUCUCCAGGCCACCGUUCCCUCUGAGCAUUGCUAAACUUCUGGACACCACAUGGGUUCUCCUGGGCCGUGUCUCUGCCGCUGCGAGGGGAGAGAAGGCCGAGCAUGUAUUCAUUAACAGCCAACAUUUGGUGUCCUACGCUCUGUGGUCUGCCUCCACCAAGCACAAGAUCAGGGGCAGCGGCCUCAGCUGGAAGCCGCUUCGGAUUUGACAACUGGGUGUAACGGCAUGAAAACGUUACUGAUGACAGCUGAGAUCCGUUGAGGCACUGUUCUAAGGACUGUGCAAAUCAACUCACUGAGGCUCACCUGUGGCACAGGUGCUAUAAUUAUCCCCAUUUGACAGAUGAGAAUAAUGAGGAAGGCCAGGUUAAUUACGUAAAGCAUCAGCAUUAGUCACGACCUCGGUAGAACACAGUUCCACGAAGUACAGGUAUGUUUGUAAAGCACCUUGUAAGGUGAGACUGAUUACGUGCAUCUAUCCGCCAUCUUUCUAAUCUUCUCAAUUAUACACAUUUUACGCAGUUGUACAUAUAUAUAUAUGUAUGUAAGUGUGUAUGUGUUCCACUCUUCUCCUUUGACUUCGCUUUAUAAACAUUGUCACAUGAACAUUUUGUAUGUGGGGCUAUGCCCUCAUUUUUAGUGAGAACAGAAAAGAUGCGAUAGUUGCACACUGAGCUCCCUGUGCCUGGGGGUUUCUCGGAGGUGGUUGGGGCCACCGUGUGGAGCCGAGAGCCAGCAGGAGCAUGAACAGCAGGUCUGACCCCUGCUCCCUACUUUACCUAGGGUGGUUAGUUGCUCUUUAAAAUAAAAUAUUUUAAGUCAAUUUACAUAUUUAGCUUAUGCACAAUGUUUCACCAAAGAAAGGAUCCCAAAGCUGAAACAAAGUUGAUGUAUUACUAAUUAUAUCAUAAUUUGUAAUUCCCGUAUUGUUGAACAUUUAGGUUGGUUCCAUUUUUUAUUGCUAUAACAUGCAUAUGAACAUCUUUGUGCAUACACUAUGUUUUUUUCCUUUUAAUUAUUUCCUUACUUUAAAUUCCCCGGAGGUGAUUUAGGCCCGAAGGGCAUGGAUAUUUGUUAGCAUUUUAAGCACGUUUGCAAGCUACCCUGAUUCAGGCAAUUGAUAAUGCCAACGGCAAUAUGAGCAUACUGGCCGUUUGCUCACAGUCCAGAAGUAACAGCUUUAAAAAAAACAAAACAACAAUAAAAACCAAACAACACUCAAAAUGACGCAAAAACUAGCAACAUCAAUUAAUGUCUUCCAAUCACCCUAAUUUAAGGAUAGGCUGUAUACUAUGCCUCGAGCUGGAGUUUGACUGUGGCCAAGCCAGACUGGAUGCAUAGGAGUUCCCGCCACUGUGAUGCUGUGGUGGGCGACUGGAGUGCUGGUGAGAAAACAGUCACUCUGAAUAGGAUAAGUCUGUUGAAACUGAAGACGGGCAGGAGCCAUUUACCAAGGGUUGUUCAGGGACCACAGGAAAAGUAAGAGACCCUGGGCCUCCUGGAAUUGUGAGGGGCCAUCCCAGAGGGACCCCGACUUGGCGAACUGGACUUGCCCAGAAGAUCUCUUGUCUCUGAAAGUCAGACCUAGCGGAAUUUAAUUGGUGCUGCUCAUUCACGAGGCUCUAUUGGGAAAUGUGAAUGUAUUUUAACACAUGCGGAUAGUAGUUUUAAAACAUCACUUAUCAAAGACAAGAAAAAAAAGAAAAGAGAAAAAAUCACUCAGAUUCUCACUCCCAUGCCAGUAACAACUCUGACCAUUUUGCCUUUUAGGGAUUCAAAAAAUGAAUCUCUAAUGCAUGUUGCUCUCAUGAAAUUUUGAUAGUUUGUUUUGCUUUUUAUAAAUUGGAUAAACCGGAUAAACUGGGUAUAACUCUGUGCUUGUCAAUCCCGGAUUUGCAGUAAUUUGCAAUGUAGUUUAUUUUGUGAAGGGCAGCGGCUGCUUUCUGUCCGUAAAAGCACGAGUUUAUUUUCCUCCGUCAAACGUAGAAACCUUCCAACCGGCGUUUCUGCCUGCAAGCUCGGCAGAGAGGGCGAGGAGCAUUUGUGCCAUUUCCUCACGUCCACAUGACAUCACCCAUGGCAGGGUGGUGGCAACUGGUAGAAGAAUGUCACACGCGGCCUGCAGUGCUAAUCUCUUGUCUCAUAAAGCAGAGACGUUGGGUCUAUGGUGUUCCUCGGAUGCCAAUAUUAAGGAUGGAGCAAACAAACAAAGAUUACAUCUUUCUUUAUUAAACAUGUGUUCAAGGAGAUGCCAAGGUUUUAACUGUCAAAAGUCAUAUGCUUGCUUUUUGUAUAGAAGUUAUUUUAAGUUCAGCUUUUUGGCAUGCAGUAGCGAUCUGACUAAAGAGUCCAUAAAAUCCUGAGUGUGAACCUCACACGUUCACAUUCAGAUCUCAUGAGUACACCUGGAGGUCGUGGGUGCAAUAAGGUCUCUUGGAAAGCGGGAAGUCUUCCUGCAUUGCCCUAGUUCAGGCCUUAACCCCCAACUCUCCCUCCUUCAGUCCAGCUGCCUCACCACUAUACUGGUCACCUCACUAAGACUCAGAGCUGGUGGUGUUCUUCCCUGGCUGCACACCUUCGAUGAGGGUUACACUGCCAGCAGAGCAGAGUCCAAACAUUUAAAAGUUCCUGCCCUCAAGUGCUCGUUCCCUCCGGCUCCUUCCCCUUUUCCAGCCUCAUUUCCUGCCUCUCCCUGGCCAGCCCUGCAGGGUGCUGGUCUCCCCAGACAACCUUGCCGUUCUCUGAGCAAGCCCUAUUCUUUUGGCUUUGCUCUGGCUCACACUUUCUUCUUUGCCGUUAAAGUUCCUGUCUCUAUUUCGCUGUCCUUUAAGGACCAGCACAAGUGCAGCCUUCUCUCUGGAUUUUCUCUGACCAUCUCUCUCCACUGAGAGCUUUGUCAACUCUGCUCCGAUGGAUUUUGUUCACGGCCCUGCCCUCAGAACACGGUUCUCUGUGUUUGCCUCGCACACGCUGACACACUGCAGCUCUUCGGGGCAGGGGCUGUGUCCAUUUCGUGUUUCCACCCCCAGAACUAACACAGUGUCAGACAAUAGUAGGUGCUUGUUUAAUGUUUUUGAACAACCUCACGUACGUAUAAAUAGUUUACAGUCAGUGGUAAAUUAAUAAAAAGUAAGUAAUGGUUGUUUACCAAUAUUUGUUAUAUAAUUAUUCAACCACCCUUUACUGAGUCCAGGCUGAGUGCCAGGCAUUUUGAUGAGCACUGGCAUUCAAAGGUGAGUGGGUAGUGUUCCUGACCUGGAGAGGCCCACAGUCUUGUGAGGGAGAUAGGUAUAUGAGCAUGAAUUAUAUUCAUUCAUUUAUUUUGUGAAACAGAAAAAUGUCAUUAAAUUUGGAAUUUUUUUCCUCUAUGAAAUUGGAGCGCAUAGGGCCAUUUUAAGAGUGUAAGAGCAAAAAUAUGUAAAUAGUAUCUAAAUUCUGGUGUGUGUCACUAAGAAAAGAUACCUUUAAGAGUAAUUCCUCUUUCCUUUACCAGCAAGGGCACUGUCCUGGGUGUUUCCUCUGGAUAUGCUGGGUUUUAGACCCCCCGUGUUCUACCACAGGCAGCCACCCCACAGUGGACCAUACUGCCAGGCAGAAGAGCAGUGGGGCUGGAAAUACAGAAAGAGAGAGAGAGAGGCUGCCUCCUUCACUGCCAGAACCCUGUCGAAACUCUCUGCUGUUCCAGGAAUCCACAGGACUAGCAGCAAACCAAGGGCAUCUCCAUGAACAUCCUCAGCCCAGUCUUCUGCUGGUAAGGUGAGAAGAUAGAGCAGAGUAGAGCAAGAUAACCAGAAGAGAGUCUUGCUUCAGUCUUUGCUUUUGUACAAGCCUACCUCACGGGCUUGGAGUGAGGGUUUGCUAGAGCCUUCCUCUAGCUUGGCCAAGUGAGACAAGCAGUCCCAGUUAUUAACGAAUCCUGACAUAUAAAGGGACAAACUGAGACAGUUAACUGGCGUUUUGUAAAGGUCAGGGCUUCCUAUUAAAGGACUUGUGCAGAGGCAACAAUCAUUCUUCCACUGCACAAGGAGGAAAAUCCAGAUGCUCAGGAUCAUAAGACUAGAAGGGACGUCAAGAGGGAAAGGAGGUCAGCCCUUGCCUCUGAGCAGGAGGACAUUCAGUCACCUAAAAGCCCAAGAGAAAAUAGAAUAAACCCAAUAAACUGGGUCUUAUUUCGGAAGCCAAAUGUUAUCCCUGCAAAUGGCUCAGUUAACACCUGCGGGCUACAUGAGCUGAUGUGGUAGAAUAGCAGGGAGACCUUAAGACACUUUAUGGCUUACUUACUUGUGUUAUUGGUUUUCUUUGCUCAUCUCUGGGGAGGGAGCUUUUUUAAGAUUAUGAAAGAUAAUACAAUGUUGGGUCGAUUGUAUCAUGAUGUGAUGCAAUCCAACCCUGCGAGGGGUGUGUUCUUGAAGACGCUGUGGAAACAAGUAUCAGCUCUACUGUAGGAGGAGGUGAGCUGCUCAUCUCCGUUGGGGCAUGGCGGCGAGUACUGGCUCCAGCUGUGGAAAUGCACCAGAGAAUCAGAAGAGUUUAUUAGGAAGAUUUUUAGCAAAGCAAUCAUAGGCUCUUCAUAGUGUGAGUAAUAAUGUUUAUCAGUUAUCAGUCCUUCCGUGGUAUUAUUUUCAACUACUUUAAGAUAUUGUUUUUCUUCUUUCCUUUGGCAUCUUUCCCAAAGUUUAAUGCAGCUUCUUGAAAAAAAUUUGAUACUUUUGCUACCAUUUUCCAGAAGAGAAUAACAGGCACGCUGGAAGUUUUGCCUGUCAGUCUGAGAUGGAGGAGUCUGUAAAAUUGCCCUGGGUAAUGACGGUAGAGGUAAGUUUUAGCUUCGUAAAUAAAGACUAUGACUUACACUAAGGCGUAUGUGGGCAAAGUAUUGGGUCUAACAUCAGAGAGCUUUAAAGGAUGGAUGUAGGGACACGCAUGCUCAGAAUGGGCAUUGCAUGAGGCGUAUAUGCUCAUUUUUAUUAAAGAUCCUUGAACUGUUCAAAACUGUGGUAGACAGAAUAAUGGCCCUGAGAGAUGCCCACACGGGGAUCCCCAGAAGCUGUGACUGUGCUACCGCACAUGGCAACGAACGCGGAUUCACAAAUGUGAAUAAAGGUAGACUUUGAAGUGGGAAUUUAUCCCAGGUUGUCCAGGUGGGUCCAAUCUAAUCACAUAAACCCUUAAGAGCAGAGACGCUCCCUGGCCGUGGUUAGAGAAAGAGAAGAGUGAGCAGAAGCAGGGCAGAGGGAUACUACAGCAUGUGCUUGAUCUUUUUAAAUUAAAAAUCUUUUUUACUAUUUUCCCCCAGCUUUAUUGAAGUAUGGAUGACAAAUAAGAAUUAUGCAUAUUUAGGUUUUACAACAUGAGUUUUAAAGAUGUACAAUGCAAUGGUUUAAUAUAGGUUUACACUGUGAAAUGAUUACUGCAAUCAAGUGGUCACAUCCGUCACCUCAAUAGUUACCAUUUUUUUCUGUGAUGAGACCCCUUCAGAUUUCCUCUCAGCAAAUUUCAAGUGUGUAAUACGGUAUUAUUAACUGUAUUAUCUAUUAUUAAGCAUGCUGCAUAUGAGAUGCCCAGAACUUACUUAUCUUGUAGCUGGAAGUUUGUUCUCUUUGGCCAGCAUCUCCCCAGUUCCCCCACCCCUCAGCCCCUGGCAACCACCAUUCCGCUCUCUGCUUCUACGAGUUUGACUUUCUUAGAUUCCACAUAUAAGUGAGGUCAUGCAGUAUUUAUCUCUCUGUGUUUGGCCUAUUUCACUUAGCAUGAUG